rnacentral:rRNA from 1 species
UACCAGCUCUUCGAGUGGUGUGGAUGUUUAUUGGGCCUAAAGCAUCCGUAGCUGGCUGGGCAAGUCCCCUGUUAAAUCCACCGAUUUAAUCGUUGGAGUGCGGGGGAUACUGUUCGGCUAGGGGACGGGAGAGGCAGACGGUAUUUUCGGGGUAGGGGUGAAAUCCUAUAAUCCCGGGAAGACCACCAGUGGCGAAGGCUGUCGGCUAGAACGCGCCCGACGGUGAGGGAUGAAAGCUGGGGGAGCGAACCGGAUUAGAUACCCGGGUAGUCCCAGCUGUAAACGAUGCAGGCUAGGUGUUUGGGCGGCCACGUGCCGCUCUAGUGCCGCAGGGAAGUCGUUAAGCCUGCCGCCUGGGGAGUACGGCCGCAAGGCUGAAACUUAAAGGAAUUGGCGGGGAGCACCACAAGGGGUGAAGCUUGCGGUUU